CCCUUGGUAUCCCUCCAUGGUCUCUCCGACUGUCUGAGAUUUCUUUGGCUCGCCUCGGUCGAAUCCCCCUGGCCGGGUCCUUUGGACUCGCAACGGGAAAGGGAAUCGAGUGAAGGAGGGUACAACGCUGCGAAUUUCCUGAGAUUUCCCCGGAAUCCCUCCUCCGGUUUUGACAAAUAUGGUAUAAUGUAAAUGUAGGAGGUGGUUACGAGAGUGGGUAGUUGCAAUUCUGAGAAUGAUCAGCUGCUGAAGGAGUCUUAUAUCCCAAAUACGUACUGUUACCAGACUUAUCAGUAGAGCAUCUUUCCCGGUUGUCCUAUGAUAGUUUAUAUCAACACCAAAACCAGUGGUCAACUUGGAGGUGAUUUGAUUGUAACAUACGGUGCACUUCUUAACAGAGUACAGGUACUAUUCAUAUACAGAAGAUUAUUACUUCGAAUAGUACCUUGUACGAUCAGAUUUUAAACCUAAAACUAAUUUGUGCCUCAGUUAGACUAAGAAAAUGCAUUCAGAAUGCAUGGCUUUUAUUUAAAUUGUAUAAUUUUGAGGUUUUUGAUUUGAGUGAGGAAGCACGGAUAAGGUGCUGCAGAAGCUUUAUUGCUUUAUUGAUUUGAGUGAGGAAGCACCAAGUCUGAGGAUCACCACUGCUUUUAGCUCCUUUCAUCGCAGCUCCUUCCGGUUCGAGAAAGUGUGGCUUUCGUACCCCCAGUUCUAAAAUAUUGUUUGGGGGCCUGGGAGACUCCGGUGCGAGCGGAUGCCAUGUAGAGGAUUUUUCGUAAGUUGGAGCUCACCAGGCGAAGGCUGCGCAGAUGGAACCGAGAGGUGGUGGGCGACAUUUUCAGAUGGUUGGAUGAGAUGGAGGUGUCCAUUGCUGACCUUCAGAGAAGGGAGGAUAGUAGCAUCAAGCUAUUGGAGGACUGGAAAAUUUAAUUUGAUGAUGGUUCCUCCUUUUAUGUCUCAUCAUGCUGCCUAUGGAGUUGAAAAUGUACUUCAAUCAUUUUCUGUUAUCUUAAUUGUUUUGCCUUGUUGUGUUCUGAUUUUCAGCAUUAGGUCAAUUGUUUGUCUUGCCUAGCUUUUCUGGAAGUUUGAAUCUCCGGGGAACUCCAUGUACAAAGAAACAGAGAGAUGUGAACUCAUUUGCAUGACCAAGUUUUAUAAAUUCAUAUAGAUGGGACUCUGACUUCUAUAGUGCUCUCCUUUUUUUCAUUAUUACAUUUA